rnacentral:rRNA from 1 species
UGACCUCGGAUCANGUAGGGAUACCCGCUGAACUUAA